ensembl:misc_RNA Metazoa_SRP Metazoan signal recognition particle RNA
GCCGGGUGCGGUGGCGCGCGCCUGUAAUCCAAGCUACCGGGAGGCUGAGGCUGGCGGAUCGUUUGAGCUCAGGAGUUCUGAGCUGCAGCGGACUAUGCCGAUCGGGUGUCCGCACUAAGCUCGGUAUCGAUAUGGUGCUCCUGGGGGAGCCCGGGACCACCAGGUCGUCUAAGGAGGGGUGCACCGGCCCAGGUCGGAAACGGAGCAGGUCAAAGCCCCCGUGCCGCUCAGUAGUGGGAUCGCGCCUGUGAAUAGACGCUGUAGUGCAGCCUGAGUAAUACAGCGGGACCCAGUCUUUU